AAGACCCCAUCUUAGGGUCAGACAUCGUUUCCAGCAGCGUGACCACGGAUGUACUGGCACAAGCUGUUGAGACGGUUUGGGGGAAGGUCGGGUUUAUCACUCGGCCUUUUUCUGU
rnacentral:sRNA from 1 species